AAUUGUCAAACCCGAGGCAUGACUAUAUAAAUUAGCAAACACACCGAUUUUUCGGGCCCUCUCGCAUCUAAUCCUUCCCUCGGCUUCACACAUCCUGAACUGCAGCAGCCGGCCCCUGGAUACACUUCAGCGCGGAACCGCGGCGGCCACCGCUAUCACUCCCCGGCGACCGAUCCAAAUUGCAGCUUCCAUUGGCCAACGGAUCAGAGAGCGCGAGACCAGCCGGAUCCGAGGUUUAUUUUAAUUAAAGAUCUGAAGAGGAGCGUGCACCCCGUCCAGGAUCUGAUUGUUUGCUGACUAGUUAAUUUUUGUGGAUGAGAGAAUUUUCUGGUGCUUUGUGGAUGUCCUUGCUGGAUGGAGGCUGGAUGUCUCACGUGGAAGAAUUGAUUCAUGUGGCUUGUGGGGGUGAAUGGCGUAGCAUCCCAUCGUCGAUCUUCAGCACACUCUGUUGAUCCUACCGCUAGCGGCGCCCAGUCAGCCGUAAACAGAUCAACAUAUUUCUUUAAUUAUUUUUGUUAGUGGACAUAUGAUCAAAUGGAUUCACAAAUAGUGAUUUCAGCUGCUAUUUCUUCUUUGGGAAAGUAGUAUAUACCCAACAAAAAGGAACAGUACCUCUAGUUUCUAGUUUAAUCACUAUGUUGAAACCUUUGGUUGAAGGAUCAAGAACGGCACCUUGCUGCCAUCUUCUUUAUAUGUUCAGUAUUGUCUCAAUAUGAAAUUGCUGCUAGAAUUUUCUAUUU